GCGAUCCUAGAUUUAAUUUUUAUCUAUUUUUAUCUGUAUUUUAAGUUUAACUAUCUAGGCUAGUGCUGAGUGGGUGCAUGGUUCCCGCCAGCUCUUUUACUUUAGAAGUUAGUUUGUACGAGUCAUGACCUGGCUCUAUAAAUAGAACAGGUGCGGUCAGUUCUUUCUUUUUUUCCGGUGUUGACCGUUGGUCAGUGCAAUCACGUAGAAGAAAUAAGUAUUUAAUUGUUGCGCUUGUAUUCAGCUGGGACCGCCUGUAAGUUGGAAAAUGUUUUUAUUUUAUUUCUUUAGUUUGUAUUUGUAUUAGUUAUUCCUACAUCUACUGUUAUAGUCUAGAUGUGGACUGAUUAGUGUAGUGGCAUCACUGGCUAGUUAAUUAGCCAUGAUUGUCUAUGAUGGAACCGGAAGGUCCAUUAAGCUGGAUAGCGUCACCCCUUCCUUCCCCCCCCCCCCAAACUAUCCCUAAUAAUCCCCUUAUUGUUUUUCUAUACUAUGUCUAUUUGUAAAUAUUUUAUUAUCUUAUAUUCUUAUGUAUGUUUAUUUUAUUAGUGAUUCUUUUUGGUAGUUUCUGAAGCGUAGUUGGCAGAUAAUAUUAUUUUUAAUUUUGUUGUACUUUUAUGUACAAGAUGGCGGCUGGCAUAAGCCGGCUCAUUAACCUAGAUCUAAUGUGUAUUGUUGUGACUUUUAUCUGAUGUUAUCUAGAUCUGUUUAUUGUCUACCCAGCCUGUGUGGGUUGUGGCGUAGACUUGACCUAAAAUUCUGUGGCUUUUAUUAGCUACAUGGAGGCUAAUUACUAAUAUGUAAUUACCUCAUGUCUCUAGGUCGGUUUGUGUACUAGACUAGGUCUAGUCUAGCUUUUUUAAAACUUUUUACUAUUUUUUAACGUUUUUAUGUAUUGAUUUUUGCAGGCUAUCCUUACUGCAGUACUGCUGUCGUUAAGUCUGCUGUUGUUAGUCUACUGCCAUUAGUCUGCCAUCGCCUCCUUGUACCUUUUUUGUUAUAUUUUAUUAAUUUUAAGCUUAGGUCUAGGGUAGUAAUUGUAGUUAGAUAGUUGGUUUGGUUAGUCUGUUAGUGUUUGUAGAUUUAGAGGGUUUUAGUUAGUUGCUGAGUUCAGUUGUAGUGUUAGUGUAGCUCUAUGUUAUAUUUUAUUAUUGAUUUAUUUGUGUAUGUAAAUAAAGUUUCUUUUUGUUUUAUUUAUCCUAAAGUAAAAGUUUCGUUAUUGCUUUCUUUUAGUUAGCUAGAUUAGUUUAGCUUAGUUCAAUUGUGCUGUCUGGUUGCUUAGGCGACUCUAGCCCCUUGGUCGCAGACCGAGGUGCACAGAUUGGGCCCACCCAGUAGAGCUACCACCUGCCUACUGUUAUAAAUGAAUUUAAUGUUGAGCAGCAGAAGAGAAUAGGCCUCACACACUCGCGCCUGCCUGACCUGCUCACAUUUUUUUGGUGUCAGAAGUGGGAUCUGUGCUUAAGUAAUCAGACACACAUUGUUUUCUUAGGGAUUAGGUUGUUAGUUUUUUUGAGGCUUUUGUUAGGAUUGCAUAGGUUGGUAUUAGUUUUAGGUUUGGAUAGCAGUAGGAAUCAGUGUUGGAGAAUUUAUUUUUUUGUUAGUUGUUAGAAUAUAGGAUAUGGAUAGUUUAGUUUGUUGUUUGAGUUUUGUUUUAUGUAGUGGUCUUCGUUAUGGUCAGUAGUGAGUUGGUUUUAAUGUUACUUGGAGAUGUAGUUCUAGGAAGUUGUUGUAGUGCGUUGUGAGGUAGUUAGUAUUGUUGUUGUGGGUUAGGGUUAGAGUUGAAGUGUUAGGUUAGGGUGGCAGAAUGGCAGCAGCGGCAGGAAGGAUGCAGCGGUCCCAGGCUGAUGUGGAGGUGCCUCGGAAGAGUGAUCCGAGAGGAGGAGAGAAGUCUGCAUCUACCCCCAUGCCUGCAGAGAGAUGUCUGCCCAGCAUCAACAGACGAGAGAUGUCAUGGCUAGAGCCAGCGGAUGACAUGUACCAGCCAUCCAUUAGGUGAGAGUGUUCGACUUUCACCAGCCAUGUCAGCACCAGAGGACGAUCCUCUCAAUGUUGGAAAUAGCUAUGUAUGGAUUUACGGCAAUGAAUCCCAACAAGCAGGUGUUAUCGACUUUAUCAGUAAGAGGAAGGCUUGCCUUAUAGUCCUUAUCUUCCUGUGGUGAAUUGACUAAAUAUGGAUAGAUUCGCAGUUGCUGGUGGCCUGAAUGUGUGAAGCGACACUACCAAGACUUAGGCAGUUCCAGCAUGGGUUUUUUUACAAAUAGCCAUGUACCGGCCUGACAGAGGUGCCCCACCGCCACCUCUGUGUUUUAAACAACUGGGCCAGUUUGUCCUUCCAUUUAGGACGAUUGUCAGCCCAGUUGCAACGUUCAGUUUUGUGACCAUUGCCACACCUUGAAAGGUCCCCAAGUCCGGGGGUCAGCUACUCUGUCUACAAGAUUACCUUGCCAGAUGCACCCAGCCAGCCACAGUCAAUCCCUGCUCCUGCACCGGUAGGCCCAAGAAGGUCCUCCAGGACGAGAAGACAACCUACCCGACUGGAUAUUUAGUUUUAGUCCUUUUUUGUUUGUUGUAAACUUUUCUUUGUAUGGCUAUGUUUUUGCAUGUUUAAUAUUAUUUUGUUGUGUGGUAUUAAUGAUGUAUUUUGUAUAUUGAUUAUGUUUUUGUAUAUUCCAUGCUUGCUCUACUAAUGGUUUUGCAACCUAGUAGAUAUUUUUGUAAGUCUUUAUUGGGCUCUCAAAAGCCAAUAUUGUGCUUGGUUGCUGUAGUAAAGUGCUGUUUGUGCAAUUUUUCUAGCCAUGUUAAUUUUCGAUGUUGCCAUCAAGGUACUCGUUAUGUUAUUUGUCUUGGAGGCCAUGACGUAGAUAAAUGUAAUACAUUUUAUUACAGUAUUUUGUUGUUGCCUUUGGAAGGCAAUGUAAUGUUUUUUUAGUAGACUUUUUUUGAAGUACUUAAGGUACUCAUUAAUGUCAUGUUAGGUUGAAUUGUCUGACAGUGGUACUUUUAUUUUGUCUAUGUCUCACCACCACUGUUGGAUGCCCUGUGUUUUGGUUAUAGCACUGUAACUCCAGGUUGUGUUAUGACACUUUGAGUGUACCAUUUUUUAAUGUUUUGGUCUUUGUGACCAUUGUGAGCCUUCAGUGGCUGGCCAUAAGUCUGUGUGACUAUGGGUCUGUUGAAGCCUUGGUGGCUUUGUAUAAGUCUGUGUGACUUUGUUUUAGCCUGUGUGGCUAAGGAACUGAGUUAAGCCUCAUAGAGUUCCUGUUGGUCUGUGUGACUAAGUUUAUCAUGUUUGGCUAGGGCGUCAUUUGCUCUAACCAUGUAGUUUUCGUUAAUUACUUUUUUUGUCGUUCCAUUUUUUUAAAGAUGUCAUGCACUAUAUUUUGUAUUACCUGUAUUUUUAUUGUUUUCUGUUGAAAGCUUUGCCACUUGUGAAGCCAUUUAGUACUGAGAGCUAUGGUUAUAGUUCUCCGUUCUCUUGUAUGAAUUCAUUUUUAUUUUAUUUCUGCUGUAUAUAUUUUGACUUUUUAUCUCUGUAUUUUGUGUAUUUUUUAUUUUGCGGGGACGCAAAAGUUUUGAGCUGGGGUGAAUGUGAGCUGGCGAUCCUAGAUUUAAUUUUUAUCUAUUUUUAUCUGUAUUUUAAGUUUAACUAUCUAGGCUAGUGCUGAGUGGGUGCAUGGUUCCCGCCAGCUCUUUUACUUUAGAAGUUAGUUUGUACGAGUCAUGACCUGGCUCUAUAAAUAGAACAGGUGCGGUCAGUUCUUUCUUUUUUUCCGGUGUUGACCGUUGGUCAGUGCAAUCACGUAGAAGAAAUAAGUAUUUAAUUGUUGCGCUUGUAUUCAGCUGGGACCGCCUGUAAGUUGGAAAAUGUUUUUAUUUUAUUUCUUUAGUUUGUAUUUGUAUUAGUUAUUCCUACAUCUACUGUUAUAGUCUAGAUGUGGACUGAUUAGUGUAGUGGCAUCACUGGCUAGUUAAUUAGCCAUGAUUGUCUAUGAUGGAACCGGAAGGUCCAUUAAGCUGGAUAGCGUCACCCCUUCCUUCCCCCCCCCCCCCCCAAACUAUCCCUAAUAAUCCCCUUAUUGUUUUUCUAUACUAUGUCUAUUUGUAAAUAUUUUAUUAUCUUAUAUUCUUAUGUAUGUUUAUUUUAUUAGUGAUUCUUUUUGGUAGUUUCUGAAGCGUAGUUGGCAGAUAAUAUUAUUUUUAAUUUUGUUGUACUUUUAUGUACAAGAUGGCGGCUGGCAUAAGCCGGCUCAUUAACCUAGAUCUAAUGUGUAUUGUUGUGACUUUUAUCUGAUGUUAUCUAGAUCUGUUUAUUGUCUACCCAGCCUGUGUGGGUUGUGGCGUAGACUUGACCUAAAAUUCUGUGGCUUUUAUUAGCUACAUGGAGGCUAAUUACUAAUAUGUAAUUACCUCAUGUCUCUAG